rnacentral:rRNA from 1 species
GUAGGGAAUAUUGGGCAAUGGAGGCAACUCUGACCCAGCCAUGCCGCGUGCAGGAAGACGGUCCUCUGGAUUGUAAACUGCUUUUGAAUGGGAAGAAACGCACUUUUGCGAAAGUGUUUGACGGUACUAUUAGAAUAAGCACCGGCUAACUCCGUGCCAGCAGCCGCGGUAAUACGGAGGGUGCAAGCGUUAUCCGGCUUUAUUGGGUUUAAAGGGUGCGUAGGCGGCUUAAUAAGUCUGGGGUUAAAGGCGGCAGCUUAACUGUACGCAUGCCCUGGAAACUGUGAGGCUUGAGUGACUUGGAGGUAGCUGGAAUUCCCUGUGUAGCGGUGAAAUGCAUAGAUACGGGGAGGAAUACCGAUUGCGAAGGCAUGUUACUACGAGUAAACUGACGCUGAUGCACGAAAGCGUGGGGAUCAAACAGGAUUAGAAACCCGGGUAGUCC